GCAGGCUCUGAGCUCCUCCGGGAGGCCGAGCAGCUAGAGGAGGCGGCAGGUGACAAGGCGGAGAGGGGAAUCCGUGUGGCCCGGCUCCCUGAGUUGCUGGGGCCUCACAGACCCACAAACGGACAGCAGACAGGGGCCUGGCAGGCCCUGGCUCCCUGUUGAAAGGACCCGCGAAUUCAACGCUCCAGCGCCCGGGGUGCCGCGUGCCCAGGAUCCAAUUUCAGGACAGCGAAGUUCUGGAGAACUCCAAGCUGCCUGCGGAGGAGGGAUCUCAAGACUUUUGAUGCUGUCAGACAUCUGCAAGUUUCUCACGCGCUUUUUUGGCCUAGAGCUUCCACAGAGGACACAAGGAUGAAUCGGACUGAAUUCCCGGGAUCUCUGGAUGCUGGGUCUGUGUGCGACACCCCGACUACUGAUGUGAGGGCUACAUAGCUUCAUCUUCCUGAGUGGCAGUUAAUAGAAAUAGCCACUGAAUCCAGUUUCAAGUUUCCCCAGCAGUCCCAGAACCAGCCUCGUCACCCUCAUGAGAGACAUCAGCGUGAGAGGGCUGAGGCUCCCUGCUCGGAAGCUGCCUUCCAGUCCCGCGGGCCCCGCCGCUGAGCUCGGAGACACCCACGCGGGCUUCAGAGAUCUGCUUUAAGCUCCAUAAGGCCCUUCCCCAGCUUCUAACUUUUAAUAACCCAACCUCUCCCCUCGGCUCCCUGCCCCAUGGGGGCGGCUCUUUCUCGUGGUCCCUUUCUGCCUUCUCAACGGCCUCAUUAACUGCUCUUUAUGCUUAAUCGUUUUCCAUUAGUAUGUUAAAAUAAUGGAUGGGUUUUCUUUUUUCCUCCAGCUUUAUUGAGGUAUAAUCGACAAAUAAAAAUCGUAUGUAUUGAAGGU